rnacentral:rRNA from 1 species
GACGAACGCUGGCGGCGUGCUUAACACAUGCAAGUCGAACGGAAAGGCCCUGCUUGCAGGGUACUCGAGUGGCGAACGGGUGAGUAACACGUGGGUGAUCUGCCCUGCACUUCGGGAUAAGCCUGGGAAACUGGGUCUAAUACCGGAUAGGAGCCAUUUUUAGUGUGAUGGUUGGAAAGUUUUUUCGGUGUAGGAUGAGCUCGCGGCCUAUCAGCUUGUUGGUGGGGUAAUGGCCUACCAAGGCGGCGACGGGUAGCCGGCCUGAGAGGGUGGACGGCCACAUUGGGACUGAGAUACGGCCCAGACUCCGACGGGAGGCAGCAGGGGGGAAUAUUGCACAAGGGGCGCAAGCCUGAUGCAGCGACGCCGCGUGGGGGAUGACGGCCUUCGGGUUGUAAACUCCUUUCGCUAGGGACGAAGCUUUUUGUGACGGUACCUAGAUAAGAAGCACCGGCUAACUACGUG